AACGCGAAGAACCUUACCAGGUCUUGACAUCCCCCUGACCGGAACUUAACGGUUCCUUUCCUACGGGACAGGGGAGACAGGUGGUGCAUGGUUGUCGUCAGCUCGUGUCGUGAGAUGUUGGGUUAAGUCCCGCAACGAGCGCAACCCUUAUCCUUAGUAGCCAGCAGUUCGGCUGGGCACUCUGGGGAGACUGCCAGGGAUAACCUGGAGGAAGGUGGGGAUGACGUCAAAUCAUCAUGCCCCUUAUGAUUUGGGCUACACACGUGCUACAAUGGCGUAAACAAAGAGAAGCAAGACUGCGAAGUGGAGCAAAUCUCAAAAAUAACGUCUCAGUUCGGAUUGCAGGCUGCAACUCGCCUGCAUGAAGCUGGAAUCGCUAGUAAUCGCGAAUCAGAAUGUCGCGGUGAAUACGUUCCCGGGUCUUGUACACACCG
rnacentral:rRNA from 1 species